rnacentral:rRNA from 1 species
CCUACGGGGGGCAGCAGUGGGGAAUAUUGGGCAAUGGGCGCAAGCCUGACCCAGCAACGCCGCGUGAAGGAAGAAGGCUUUCGGGUUGUAAACUUCUUUUGUCAGGGACGAAGCAAGUGACGGUACCUGACGAAUAAGCCACGGCGAACUACGUGCCAGCAGCCGCGGUAAUACGUAGGUGGCAAGCGUUAUCCGGAUUUACUGGGUGUAAAGGGCAUGUAGGCGGGACUGCAAGUCAGAUGUGAAAACCACGGGCGCAACCUGUGGCCUGUAUUUGAAACUGUAGUUCUUUAGUACUGGAGAGGCAGCCGGAAUUCCUAGUGUAGCGGUGAAAGGCGUAGAUAUUAGGAGGAACACCAGUGGCGAAGGCGGUCUGCUGGACAGCAACUGACGCUGAGGCGCGAAAGCGUGGGGAGCAAACAGGAUUAGAUACCCCAGUAGUC